AUGAUGUUUGCCCCCAAAAACACUGCAGCUUCAGUUGGAGGCUUGGGAAGCUUAACGGGAAAAGGGAAAGAGCAGGAAAAGGGGACAUGAAAGCAGUGUGGGGGACUCAGACACCACAAAUAUUCAUGGAGCCACUGAUGUUUGCCAGGCACUUUUAUAAACAUGUGACUUAAUCUUUCCCAAAACCCAUGCAAAGGGCAUCCUUUUGUCUCCAUUUUCUAUUAUAUGUGCUGAGAUGAGCCUCAGGGAAGGCAAGUAACUCACCCAGGGCCACACAGCCCGUCACAGCUCAGUCAGGGCCCCAGGAAGGACAAUCCCAUGGCUUGGGGUGUUGGGAAGUUUGCCUUCAUUCAGUCCUGCGAAGCCUCGGAGGAAAGGCUGAGCUUGGUGCUGUCACCCUGUCUCCCUCCAGGUCACCUCCAGGUCACAGUGUGGCUGGGGCUCUUGGGCCUUCAGUUUUCUUCCUGCCGAGUGGGUUCAGGAAGAGCAGGCUCUGAGUCACUGGGGCCCCGGCUGGUGAUGGGGGCUUAGACACGUGUAUGGUCCAUUGCUGCCCUCCAGGGAUGAGGCUCAUCUCAGGACCGUGCCCUGGCUUCUGUCAAGGCGGCUCUGUGGUUGUUCGGGGCCUACUCUGUCCGGCCACAGCUCUGGGCCUUUUUCCACCAGCCUUCUUUGAGCUCUCCCUUGGCUUUGGGAGCAGCAUGAGAUUUUUCCAUGCUUCCGGCUCCGUUGCCCACAAGCUGAACAGUGACUUGGUGUCAGGGUGGCAAAGAGAAUAGGUGCCUUACUGGGAAUGGGCAGUGGUGGGGGAUCAGGGAGAGGGAGGCUAGAGGGUGGACAGGACCUCCCAGCAGCGGCAAGAACAGCUCCAGCUCCUGCCUUCUUGGAACCCUUCUGCCAUGGAGCCCCCCAGGCUGAGGAGGCCUCAUGGGGGCCAUUUCGCACACCAAGAGGCUGAGUCACUUGCCCAAGAUUGGGCCUCUGGUGAGUGACAGGCAAUUGGACCGGUCAGGGUGACCCGGGGCAUGCGGUCUCACCACCUCACCACAGAGCUCUCUUCUGUGCUGGGGGAAGCUGCCGCUGGCCUCAGCUUCCCCAUCUGUGAGAUCGGGCUCCAUGCCCGUCUUGUUGGACUCAUCAAGAGACCCAUGGGGAGGAAAGAGCUUGCAAGGAGAGCAGCUAAGGAAAGACCGGAAUCGUCCGAGCCCUUUGUCCCUUCCUGUAUCAGCAGCAGGCGACCUGCCCACCAGCCGGGGCCUCCCGUUCCGUUCCAUUCCGUUUAAGUAAGCUCUUUCCCUGUGCAAGGGAGCAACCGACCUCAAAGGCCCGGCCCACAAAGGGGCCCCCGACAUGGCUGGGAACAAUGCGGCCUGUUUACCUGACAGAUUGUCCGCUUUCUUUUCAUCUCGUAGGAAAAGAACUCCCACGGGGAGCCGCUAAUCCCAGAGUAAACAGAUGACCUCGUGGUGCCUUUCUCCCGGAGGUGGGGUUCCUAGCGCAGCACCCCAACUGUGCAAACAGACCCUGGAGGGCUCGAUGCGCCUGCGGGGGCGUGGCUGGGGACCUGGGCCUGGGCCAGGAGGGGCCUUUCCCUCUCGCCAGCCCUCUUUUCUUCCUUUGUGAUUUCAAUUGAAUGGGGAGAAGCUCAAAGGCAGGGGCAUGAAAGGUCAAAGCCAAUUUGCAGGGCCAAGUGUGGGGGAGGAGAGAAGGGCCCAGACCAAGCAUUCUUUUUGGAGGCCUGACCUUGACCUGGAAGCAACUCCUCCCUCUCUCGGCUCUUCUGAGGACACUGCCCUGGCAGAGCUGGCUUUGCCUUCUGGCCACCCCCCUUACUAGCUGUGUGACAGAGGCCAGAAAAUGCUCCUUUCUGAGCCUCAGUUUCCUCAUCUGGAAAGCAGAGAUACAGGGACCUGUCGG
rnacentral:lncRNA from 10 species